AACGAACGCUGGCGGCAUGCCUAACACAUGCAAGUCGAACGAGACCUUCGGGUCUAGUGGCGCACGGGUGCGUAACGCGUGGGAACCUGCCCUUAGGUUCGGAAUAACUCCCCGAAGGGGGUGCUAAGACCGGAUAAUGUCUUCGGACCAAAGAUUUAUCGCCUUUGGAUGGGCCCGCGUUGGAUUAGCUAGUUGGUAGGGUAAAAGCCUACCAAGGCGACGAUCCAUAGCUGGUCUGAGAGGAUGAUCAGCCACACUGGGACUGAGACACGGCCCAGACUCCUACGGAAGGCAGCAGUGGGGAAUAUUGGACGAUGGGCGAAAGCCUGAUCCAGCAAUGCCGCGUGAGUGAUGAAGGCCUUAGGGUUGUAAAGCUCUUUUACCCGGGAUGAUAAUGACAGUACCGGGAGAAUAAGCUCCGGCUAACUCCGUG
rnacentral:rRNA from 1 species